UGAAAAUACAAGAAGAGAAAUUCCUCUCAGAACUGGCAAGGGACUGAAUACUGACUCCAAAACUUGCUACACUACAGGAGAAAGAACUUCAAAAGGAAUCUCUGGCAAGCACUUCUUUACACAUCAAGCACAAAACUUCAAGAGAAAUACUAAGUUCUGAGGAUAGGCGUUCCCGUGCUGUCACAGGCACCACCAAUGCGAAGAUGGAUACAUUCUAAAAUACCCACGGAAAUGAAGUGUCAUUGGAAAUGUUCUUUAUCAUCACUGCAAAAGGCAGGACGACCACUUUUCUUGUCUAAAAGCCAGGUCUUUCCCAGAUGACUAUCCAAAUGGGAUGAGGACACAUAUUCAGGAGAAAGUGUGCAACUGUGUCAUGAUGUGUUCAAAGCACGUGUGCUGCUGAAGUUCUCUGCAAAGCAUUUGUCUGGCCUCAAGUACACCCUUGGCUCAGUAGCUCAGCGGUUUCCUUUCCUUUAGCAGCCCGCAGUCCAAGGAGGAGCACCUCAGAGGGCUGGCCGGGGGCCACGAAGCCUUCCAAACUCUGUUAGAAUAGCGGGAAGGCCAGCUCCCCUCUGAAGAGGCAGAUGGCGAAACAUCCUCUUGGCUCUUGUUCAUCCAGCCAUAUUGGUGCAGAUACCGCUGAAAAAGGCCAGCAAGUUCUCCCAGGCCAGGCAAA
rnacentral:lncRNA from 1 species